UCAGGGCUGAGGCAACUAAAGAUGAUAGAUAUGGAGCUUUAAGUAGGUCACGGUAUGGUCUUGUUGACCUUGCAGCUGCUUUAUUCUAUCGGGCUUGUGUUAACAGAGAUAAGCCAUCAUCAUCUGAGAAGCGGGUGAAGAGAGAGCAUGCUGAUACACGUUUAAGAGAAGAGCUCAAAAAAGGAAAGUGGCUAUGGGGGAUUCUCGAGACAUUUUGCAUCUUAGAAAAGGCCUCCUGAAAGCAGUUUUGGGUCAUCUUGAAUGGCAUGUCUGUUUCUUGUUUUGUUAUGCCCGGGAUGGUUUUGAAGGGGUUGAGACACACACACAAUAAUUUUUUUUAUACAUAACUAGAGAAAUAUAUGACAAGCAGUCCUUUCCAAAAGAAAAUAAAAAUACUAUUAUAAGUCUCUUAAAUCCAGCAAUGUAAAGAUUAGAUGAAACACUGAGUUCCAU